UCAGGAUGAACGCUAGCUACAGGCUUAACACAUGCAAGUCGAGGGGCAUCAUGACGAUAGCUUGCUAUUGUUGAUGGCGACCGGCGCACGGGUGAGUAACGCGUAUCCAACCUUCCCUAUAGUAGAGAAUAGCCCGGCGAAAGUCGGAUUAAUGCUCUAUGUUGUAUUUCGCGGGCAUCUAACGAAUACCAAAGGUUUACCGCUAUAGGAUGGGGAUGCGUCUGAUUAGGUAGUCGGCGGGGUAACGGCCCACCGAGCCAUCGAUCAGUAGGGGUUCUGAGAGGAAGGUCCCCCACAUUGGAACUGAGACACGGUCCAAACUCCUACGGGAGGCAGCAGUGAGGAAUAUUGGUCAAUGGGCGAGAGCCUGAACCAGCCAAAGUAGCGUGCAGGAUGACGGCCCUAUGGGUUGUAAACUGCUUUUAUACAGGGAUAAAGUGGGGGACGUGUCCCCUUUUGUAGGUACUGUAUGAAUAAGGACCGGCUAAUUCCGUGCCAGCCGCGGC
rnacentral:rRNA from 1 species